CCUACGGGAGGCAGCAGUGAGGAAUAUUGGUCAAUGGGCGCUAGCCUGAACCAGCCAAGUCGCGUGAAGGAUGACUGCCCUAUGGGUUGUAAACUUCUUUUAUAUGGGAGUAAAGUGCAGUAUGUAUACUGUUUUGCAUGUACCUUAUGAAUAAGGAUCGGCUAACUCCGUUCCAGCAGCCGCGGUAAUACGGAGGAUUCGAGCGUUAUCCGGAUUUAUUUGGUUUAAAGGGAGCGGAGGCGGGUAGUUAAGUCAGUUGGGAAAGUUUGCGGCUCAACCGUAAAAUUGCAGUUGAUACUGGCAUCCUUGAGUACAGUAGAGGUAGGCGGAAUUCGUGGUGUAGCGGUGAAAUGCUUAGAUAUCACGAAGAACUCCGAUUGCGAAGGCAGCCUGCUGGACUGGAACUGACGCUGAUGCUCGAAAGUGUGGGUAUCAAACAGGAUUAGAUACCCUUGUAGUC
rnacentral:rRNA from 1 species